AUUGAACGCUGGCGGCAGGCCUAACACAUGCAAGUCGAGCGAGCGGCGGACGGGUGAGUAAUGUCUGGGAACCUGCCUGAUGGAGGGGGCUACCUACAGGAAGCGGUAGCUAAUACCGCAUCCCAUCAGAUGUGCCCAGGUGGGAUUAGCUAGUGGGUGGGGUACAGGCUAACCUAGGCGACGAUCCCUAGCUGGUCUGAGAGGAUGACCAGGCACACUGGAACUGAGACACGGUCCAGACUCCGACGGUAGGCAGCAGUGGGGAAUAUUGCACAAUGGGCGAAAGCCUGAUGCAGCCAUGCCGCGUGUGUGAAGAAGGCCUUAGGGUUGUAAAGCACUUUCAGCGGGGAGGCGUUACCCGCAGAAGAAGCACCGGCUAACUCCGUGCCAGCAGCCGCGGUAAUUC
rnacentral:rRNA from 1 species